CUCUCCUGUGCUGCUUGUCUAACUGAUUCAAAUCCACAUAGAUAAAUUUAAGCACAUUAAGUUUUCAAACUCAAAUCAAACAGCUUUAAAAGUUACUUCACAAACAAUGAAUUUCAUUUUCGAAAUACAAAGAAUCCGUUCAGUUUAAAACAAUAAAAAAUCGUCUACGACUACUCAACUCAUGUAUUAUAACUAAAAAAACGAAGGAUACCCACAAAAAUUAAAGAUAAAUUACCAAAAACCCAAAAAACUCAAGCCAAAAUUGCCAAAAAAAAAAAAGCGAGAGAAUGGAAAUUGGGGUACCAGGGGCGGGCGAGAGGAAACGAGAAGAGGAAGAAAGAGGGGUUUUAGAGAGAGUGGGAAUUAGUGGAGGCAAAAAUGGAGAGUUUUGCCUCCACUAAUGAUUGGUGGGGUGGUGAUGGCGGUGGUGGGGUUAAUGUUCUGGAGGGUAUGCUGAAGAGAGGUCGCAAGAGAACCUCCAUAGCCUUUAAAGAGAGUUGAGUUGCUGCUUUCUUUUGCCGUGGAUGGAGAGAGAUUAAGGGAUUAGAAUUCUGUAUGGAAUUUACUUUUUAUUAAAUAAAAAAUUAAUGUUAAAAUCAUUUUAUUUUAUUUUUUUAUCUAGUUAUCAUUGACUUAAUAUUUUGGAUCUUCAUCCAAAGUAAAGGCACAAAAUUUUUAUUCUAAAUAAAUAUUCUCAAUAUAAAUUUAUCACUUAAAUAAUAAAUGAUAAGAUUUUAUAUUAAUUCUGUCAUUACUGAAAUGAAUUACAAAUUUUAUAUGACGUGUAAACGUAUCAUUAUAUUCUUGAUAUUUGACAUCUUGACUAAAGCAACAAAUGUAUCAUAUUUUUAUUUUGGUAUUGUGGUUCUCUAAAAAUACCCUCACCAAAUUAGCUUAAUUCUUUUCAUUGUACCCAUUGCUUCUCUUCCUCUUUUCGUCAACGACAAUGGGUAACUUAAUCUCAACCUUCUUACCAGCAGACUUAUUUGAUCGAACUUCAAACUGCGUUGGUGAACAAGCAAAAUAUGUAUGGGGUCUCGAAAAAAAUCUUCGGGUCUUGGAGACUGAAUUGCACAAAUUGACUCGAGCAAGGGCCGAUCUGAAGACCAAGGUUGAGGUCGAAGAACAACGACCUCGAACCAGACGAACGAACCAGGUCGCAGGGUGGCUUGAAGAUGUGCAAAAUCUGGAAACUGAAUUUACCGAGCUGGAACGAGUUAGAGCUCAUGAAAUGGAUAGAUUGUGCCUUGGAGGCCUCUGUUCCAAAAACUUCGUUUCAAGCUACAAUUAUGGGACUCAGGUGGUCGAGUUGACGGAUCGAGUGAUCAAUUUAAAGAAAGAUGGAGAAAAAAUUGAAGUCGUUGUUGAGAAGGCGCCGGAUGGUGCAGCAAUUGAAUUACCUCUUGAUCACACAGUUGUUGGUCAAGAAUUAUUACUUGAUCAAGUUUGGAGAUGUAUCACUGAUCAGGAAAAUAACAGGGGAAUUAUCGGCUUGUAUGGUAUGGGGGGAGUCGGCAAAACUACCCUUUUAAAACAAGUCAACAACAACUUCCGCCAUCAACAGCAUAUUUUUGAUGUUGUUAUCUGGACGGCUGCGUCAACACUUCAAGAUGACAUUGGAAAAAGGAUUGGCUUUUCAGAAGACAGAAACUGGAAGGAAAAAAGUCUUCAAGACAAGGCUGUGGACAUCGCUAGCAUUUUAAGCGGAAAGAAGUUUGUGUUGUUAUUAGAUGAUGUAUGAGAGCGCAUUGAUUUAACAGAAUUGGGUGUCCCUCUUCAAAAACUAAAUGAUGGGUCCAAAGUAGUCUUGACAACUCGUUCAGCUGGUGUUUGCGAUCAAAUGGACGCUGAAAAGUUGGAAGUGUAUAGUUUGGCGCAUGAUAAAGCCUGGGAAUUAUUUCAGGAGAUGGUCGAAAGAUCCACUCUUGACAGUCAUACCAGUAUUCCAGAGCUAGCCGAAACCUUGGCAAGAGAGUGUGGUGGGUUGCCGCUAGCGCUUAAAAUAGUGGGUCGAGCGAUGAAAAGCCAAAGGAAAGUUGGAGAUUGGAAACGUGCAAUUAACAAAAUGAGAACAUCAGCUUCUAAAUUCUCAGGUAUGAAGGAAGAGGUGUUUUCGCGUUUAAAGUUCAGCUAUGAUAGUUUGUCUACGGAUGAACUUCGUUCCUGUCUCCUGUAUUGUUAUUUAUAUCCUGAAGACUACGAAAUUCCUAAAAGGGAAUUGAUUGAUUAUUGGAUUAGUGAAGGAUUUGUGUAUGAUUUUGAUGAUGGAUGCGAUUUUAUUGAUGACCUUCUUCAAGCAUGCUUAUUGGAGGAAGAAGGCGAUGAUCAUGUAAAGAUGCAUGAUAUGAUUCGUGAGAUGUCAUUAUGGAUAGCGUGCACGGUAGACAAGGAGGAGCAGAACUUUCUGGUUCGCGCUGGAGUUAAAUUGACCGAAGCACCAAAGGUUGAAGAAUGGGAAGGUGCCAAACGGAUAUCUCUGACGGCAAAUGGAAUUGGAAGCCUAUCGGAAAUUCCCACGUGUCCACGUCUCGUCACUUUACUUCUGGAUGGAAAUCGGAUUGAGGAGAUUACUGAUGGCUUCUUUCAAUCUCUGUCGACUCUUAGAGUAUUAAGUCUAAGAGGAAAUUUUCCCCCAAGUACACUACCUUCAGGGAUUUCAGGUUUGGUUUCAUUACAUCAUCUUGAUCUUUCUUCGACUGACAUAACUGGGUUGCCGCAAGAGCUGAAGGCAUUGGAGAAGCUGAGAUAUUUGAACUUGGACUAUGCAUUUCAUUUGUCUAUAAUUCCACAUCAAUUGAUAUCUUGUUUUUCAAAGUUGGAGGUACUCAGGUUGUGUGGGUGCGGUCGCUUUGGUGUAAUAAAAGGGAAAGAAGGUAACGUUCUAUGUGAUGGUGCUGAACCUUUGAUGAAGGAAUUGCUGGGUUUGAAGCAUUUAAAUGUUUUAAGCUGGUCCUUCGGAAGUUCACUUGCUGUCCAAAAGUUUUUGAAAUAUCCAAAGCUGGUGAGCAUCACUCAAUCUGUAUGGGUUGAAUGUGGCACGUAUACAAGGCCACCGUUCAAUGUCUUACAUCUGGCAUACAUGGAGAAUCUUCAGGAGUUAGAACUUGAAUCCUGUAAUUUGGAAGAGAUGAAGAUUGACAGCACAGAAGAGGUAAAGAAACUUUUUCGAAAUGGUUUCCGCAAUCUUAACACAGUUGUCCUAAGGUCUUGCAGAGGGAAGGACUUAACGUGGCUUGUUUUUGUUCAAAAUCUCAAGCAGCUAAAUAUGCAGGGUUUUACUAUGGAAGAGAUAAUCAGUGUUGAAAAAUUGAGUGAUAUUUCAGAGGUAAUCGGGUCAGAGCAUAACUUUUUCCCACGACUCGAAUAUCUAACCAUGUGGCGGGGAACAAAUUUAAAGAGCGUUUACCCGAAUCCCCAGCCUUUUCCAAAGCUGAAGAAAAUUCAAGCAUUUCAUUGCCGACAGCUGUAGAAGCUCCCACUCAAUUCCAGCAGCGCGAAGGGACGUCGAGUUGUGAUGACAAUGCUAUAUUUGCUGCAGGACUUGAGUAAAAAUAAAAACAGCAAGAUUUGAUUAUGCUGUCAAUAAAAUCCUGCAAGAUUGUAGGAAAAAAAUUUGUUUUUAAAUUUUAUGAUAUCAGAUAUAUGUUAAAGAUAUGUAGGCAGAUUUUUUGGCUUUGUUUGUUUCUUUUCAUGUAUAAAUUCAAAUACUGCAAUAAUGAAUAAAAUACUGCAAUUAACAGACCCAAUUUCUAUGUGUUCUCUUUUCUUUGUUUAAAACCAACAAGGUGGUAUCAGAGCCCUUAUUCUUAAGGGACUUGUAACGUGAUUAGAGAGGCUUCCUACACUUCAAUAUGGCAGGAAAUGGUUUCUUAUCUGCUCCUCCAGUUUUCACAGGUGAAAAUUAUCAAAUAUGGGCUGUGAAAAUGGAAUCUUACUUGGAUGCAUGUGACCUAUGGGACUUGGUGGAAGCAGAUCCAGAGGAUCCACCAUUAGCUCAUAUGAGGAAUAACAGGGAUGAAAGAAAAUGGAGAUAUAAGGCCAAGACAUGCAUUCACUCUGCAGUUUCGGAGACAAUUUUUACAAAGAUCAUGACUUGUGAAACAACGAAACAGGCAUGGGAUCUUUUGAAACAAGAAUAUCAGGGGAACGUCAGGACAAAACAAAUGCAGGUCCUGAACCUGAGAAGGGAAUUUGAAAUGUAGAAAAUGAAGGAGACAUAAACAGUUAAUGACUAUAAAGACAAGUUGAUGAUGAUUGCCAAUAAAAUUAGAAUGCUUGGGGAAGAGUUUUCUGAUAGAAGGAUUGUAGAGAAGAUUUUGGUGACCUUGCCUCAGAGAUUUGAAUCUAAAAUCUCUUCACUUGAAGAGUCCAGAGAUAUGUCAACAAAGGAGAGCUUACAGAAAGGAGGAGAUAGUUGAAGGAGCAUUUCAAGUGAAAGAGGCUGAUCAAGCUCAGGGAGGCAGCAAAGAAAAGAAACAGUGGAGUAAGAAGAUUUACAAGAAGGGGGAAAGUAGCAUCAAUGAAGGCAACAAGGGCAAGCACUCCCCGUGUCCUCACUAUAAGAAAACCUCUCAUCCGCAAAAGAAAUGUUGGUUUAGGCCUGACAUUCAAUGCAGGGCAUGCAAGCAAAUUGGGCAUAUGGAGAGGGUGUGUAAAAACAAACAGCAAGAAGGACAUCAAGCUCAAGCAGCAGAACAACAACAGGAUGAACAACUUUUUGUUGUAUCUUGUUUUUCGAGUAACAGUUCGAGUGAUGAUUGGCUCAUCGACAGCGGAUGCACAAAUCACAUGUCUUUUGAUGAAUCUCUUUUCAAAGAAGUAAACAAGUCAGAAGUGUCAAGAGUUAAAGUUGGCAAUGGGCAGUAUAUUGAAGUGAAAGGUAAAAGGACAGUUGCAAUAAAAAGCUCAGCAGGUAUCAAGUUAAUUUCUGAUGUAUUACUUGUUCAUAAAAUUGAUCAAAAUCUACUGAGUGUGGGACAAUUGCUUGAGAAAGGUUAUUCUGUUGAAUUUAAGAAUAACAUGUGUGUCAUUACUGACCCAAAUGGUGUAGUGUUGUUCUCUGUGAAAAUGAAUAGCAAAAGCUUCAGCUUAAGUUGGAACAAGGAUGAAUGUAGUGCAUAUCAAUGUACUUUGAACCAGGCUGAGUUAUGGCACAAGCGGAUGGGGCAUUUUCAUUAUUCUGCAUUAGAUUACAUGCAGAAAAAUGAUCUUGUGCAAGGAAUGACUUUCAAUGGAGGAGGAGCAUCAGUGUGUAGAGUCUGUCAGCUGGGAAAACAAGCUAGAUUGCUAUUCCCUGUUAAUAAGGCAUGGAGAGCAGUUGAGAAGCUUCAGUUAAUCCACACAGAUGUUUGUGGACCUAUGAGGACUGCAUCCUUAAAUGGUAAUAGGUACUUCAUGGUUCUUAUUGAUGAUUUUAAUAGAAUGUGUUGGAUUUACUUUCUCAAACAAAAAUCUGAAGUUGCUAGUGUAUUUUGGAAGUUUAAAAAAUGGAUUGAAAAUCAAAGUGGUUGUAAAAUCAAGGUGAUUAGAUCUGAUAAUGGGACUGAAUAUACAGCUGAUAAAUUUGCUAAGUUUUGUGAAGCUGCAGGGAUUGAACAUCAGCUUACAACAACCUAUACACCUCAACAAAAUGGAGUCAGUGAGAGGAAAAACAUGACAGUCAUGGAGAUGGCUAGAUGUUUGUUGUUUGAGAAGGAAAUGCCAAAAAUGUUUUGGGCUGAGGAUGUUAAUACUGCUGUAUUUCUGCAAAACAAGUUACCAACAAAGGCUUUAAAGGGAAAAACACCUUUUGAAGCUUGGUUUGGUUUUAAACCCUCUAUUCAUAACUUGAGAAUUUUUGGUUGCAUGUGUUUUACUCAUGUUCCAGAUGCAAAAAGAGAGAAGUUGGAUCAAAAGGCAGAAUAUGGAGUUUUUGUAGGAUACAACACUCUCACCAAAGGUUAUAGAGUUUAUCAACCUUUGACGGGAAGAAUCAUAGUGAGUAGAGAUGUUAAAUUUGAUGAAACUGGAGGAUGGAAUUGGGCAACAGCUGAACCAAAGCAAGUUUAUGCAGAAGAAAAAACAUCAGAAUUGCAAGAUGAUGAUAUAAUUGAUGAUGAACCAAUAAGAGGUACCAGACCACUUAUAGAAAUUUAUCAAAAGUGCAAUAUGGUUGUGCUUGAACCUGCAGGUUAUAAUGAGGCUGCUAAAGAUCCAAAGUGGCUUGAACCAAUGGAAGAUGAGAUCAAGAUGAUUCACAAGAAUCAAACUUGGGAGUUGGUGGACAGACCACUACACAAGAAAACUAUUGGUGUGAAAUGGGUUUAUAGAACCAAACUCAAUGCUGAUGGUUCUGUAAACAAAUUCAAAACAAGGCUAGUUGUAAAAGGGUAUGCUCAACUAUUUGGUGUUGACUUUUCUGAAACGUUUGCACCUGUAGCAUGGCUGGACACCAUCAGAUUGCUUUUAGCACUUGCAGCACAAAAGCAGUGGAAAAUCUACCAGCUUGAUGUUAAAUCAGCUUUUUUAAAUGGCUAUUUGGAUGAAGAAAUCUUUGUUGAGCAACCUGAGGGUUUUGUUGCAGAUCUGAAGAAAGUAUAUUUGUUAAAAAAAGGCAUUAUAUGGCUUGAAGCAGGCUCCAAGAGCUUGGUACAGCAGGAUUGAUGAUCAUUUGCUGAACAUAGGCUUCAACAAGAGCAUGAGUGAAUCAACUUUGUAUAUUCAAGUAAUUAAUCAUGAAUUGAUUGUUGUUUCACUUUAUGUUGAUGAUUUUCUUGUCACAGGAAGCAAUGAAGAAUUAGUGAAGCAAUUUAAGGUUCAAAUGAUGCAAGCAUUUGAAAUGACUGAUCUAGGAGAGAUGACUUUCUUUUUAGGUCUGGAGAUUCAAAAGUCACAGCAAGGGAUCUUCAUUGGACAGCAAAAAUAUGCUAAAGAAGUGCCAAAGAAAUUCAACAUGGAGGAUUGCAAGUCAGUAUGUACUCCUUUAGCUCAAAAUGAGAAAUUUAGUAAAGAUGAUGGUGCUGAAAAGAUUGACGAAGCAUUAUAUAGGAGUAUUAUAAGUUGCUUGAUGUAUUUGACAGCAACAAGACCUGAUAUAAUGUUUGAUGUAAGUUUGCUGUCCAGAUAUAUGCAUUGUGCAAGUGAAUUGCACUACAAAGCUGCUAAAAGGGUGCUCAGGUAUAUCAAGGGAACUUUGGAUCAUGGAAUAAAAUUUGAGAAGGAAGACAAGCUGAUUUUGCAUGGUUUUGCUGAUAGUGAUUGGGCAGGAUCCUGUGAUGAUAUGAGGAGCACGUCAGGCUACUUGUUUAGUCUUGGUUCAAGUUGUUUCUGUUGGAGUUCAAAGAAGCAGGAAAUCGUAGCUCAGUCUACUGCUGAGGCUGAGUAUGUUGCAGCUGCUGCUGCAGUCAAUCAAGCCUUAUGGCUAAGGAAGCUUAUGACAGAUUUGAAAAUGAUUCAGGAUUAUGCAACUGAAAUCUUUGUUGAUAAUCAAGCUGCCAUAGCAAUUUCUAACAAUCCAGUGUUCCAUGGGAAGACAAAGCAUUUCAAAAUUAAAGUAUUAUUUUGUUAGAGAAGUCCAGAAGAAUGAUGAAGUAAGGCUCGUGUAUUGCAAGACUGAAGAUCAGCUAGCUGACAUUUUGACAAAGGGACUGUCAAAGUCAAGAUUUGAGUUGUUGAAGAAAAGAAUUGGUGUCUGCAGCAAAAAUAGCAAGGAGGAGUGAUGACAAUGCUAUAUUUGCUGCAGGACUUGAGUAAAAAUAAAAAUAGCAAGAUUUGAUUAUGCUGUCAAUAAAAUCCUGCAAGAUUGUAGGAAAAAAAUUUGUUUUUGAAUUUUAUGAUAUCAUAUAUAUGUUAAAGAUAUGUAGGCAGAUUUUUUGACUUUGUUUGUUUCUUUUCAUGUAUAAAUUCAAAUACUGCAACAAUGAAUAAAAUACUGCAAUUAACAGCCUCAAUUUCUUUGUGUUCUCUUUUCUUUGUUUAAAACCAACAAAUUGUCAUCGAGGGAACGAAAAAAUGGUGGGAAGAGCUACAAUGGGAGGAUCAAGCCACCCAAAAUGCUUUCUUUUCCUGUGCCGUACUUUGGGAGGAUCCUUAUUAUUAAUAUGUUUGAAUAUGUAUUUCCUUUUUCUUUUUUUUCUUGCUAUAGAGUUGCAUGAUUGUGAUGAUCCUUAUUAUUAUUAUCCUUUUUUUUUUUCACAUGAAGUUCAGUAACUACUUCCGAGAUUAAUAAGAUCCAACUCGUUUUUGGUUUAGUCAAAAACUUUUUGUGGCUCUAAAUCCUUUUUAACACCAGGCCAGGCAUCCACAAAUAUAUUGACACCAUUUUAUUUAUUGAUGUUUAUAUAACUGAAUUGAUUACAAAUUACCCUUUUUGUCCAGUGUGUUCAGAAUAUACUCUGCACAACUAACACAAAAAUAAACAUGUAACAUACUAAUCGUUUAUGUUAAUUUAUGGAGGCCUUAUUGUCCAAGGCAUAUGUAAAACCAUUUCACAUUCGGCAUUGUAAUGUUUAUGGACGGAUUUAAAUGAUGUCACACAAAGUCACAAAUAGUUAAAAAAAAGAAGGUGUUUGUUUUAAAAUGUUGGCAUAUUUAUGGAGUGGGAACUCAGAUGCUGAACUCUGAAUGGGCUGGAAUCGGAAUGGGUUAGAAUCGGAAUGAGCCGGAAUGAGAAUGGGGAAUGAGAGUCAAAAUAAGUUGUUUAUUUGAACUGUAGGAAUCGAAAUCGGAAUGAGUUAGAACCCCAUUAAUGUGUUUACUUUAUCUAAGAAUCGAAAUCGGAAUAAGUUAAGUUGUUUUAAGUUACUAAAACACCCUUAGUUGUUAAUAAUAAUAAUAAUAGUUGUCCUUUGGUAUUAAUGAUAAUAAUAAUAAAUUUAAUAAUAACAUUAUAAAUAAAUAAAUAAUAGUAAUAAUUAAUGAUAAUAAUGAAAUUAAAUAACAACUACUAAUACUACAAUAAUAAUAAUAAUAAUAAUAAUAAUAAUAAUAAUAAUAAUAAUAAUAAUAAUAAUAAUAAUAAUAAUAAUAAUAAUAAUAAUAAUAACAACAACAACAACAACAUUAAUAACAAAUAAGCAAACAAUGAAAUAAUACAAACACCAAUCUACAUAAUUUUAAUGUACAAUAAGUGGCCGAACAAUAUAAGAAAUUAAUAAUUUAAAAUAUAAAAUUAUAAUUCCCAAAACAAACAUUGUGCUCCUCUUCACCGGAUGUAGCAGAUCGCGACGAAAAAUGGCGGCAGGAUGAGCGCGACCACGGUGGCAACAGAUCGAUCGGGACCACGGCGGCAGAUCGUGACGAACGAAAGCAGCAGAUCGCAGCCUUUUGACACCCCCUCGAAGACCCUCCUUUAAAUUCCUUAUAACUCUUUAAUUAAAAUUAUUUAAAUAAUUAAAGAUAAAUUAAUUCCAUUUUAUUUUGAUGGAAAAUUUAAUUAAUACUUAAAUAAAAUUAUUCUUUUAACAUUUUUCCACCCACCUCAUUUCAUAUAUAUAUAUAUAUAUAUAUAAUUUUUAGAAACUUUUAAUAAUUUAUAAUCUUUUUAAGGUGAAAUUUAAUGAGAAGAUUAUUAAUUUUAAUUUAUGGAUUAGUAUUUUAUAAAUUAAACCAAGGUACUUUGAUAAAUAAAAAUUAAAACAAGUUUUAUAAGGAUUUUGGAGUGUACGAAUUCAGAAUAUAGAUUUUCAUGGGGACGUUGAAUAUGCUGAAGCUGAAGCUAUGAAUUUUAGAAUAAAAAUGGCAAUAGACUUUGGUUUAAUGCCAUUAAUUGUUGAAUCAGACUCGAAUACUAUUUUAAACUUGGCGAAAGGUUUUGAAAGAAGUAUGAAAGAAAUAUCAUGGUUAAUUUUCGAGAUUCGAAAUUGUAUGGUUGUGAAAGACCACUUCGAAAUCAAUCUUACAUAGAGAAGUAGUAGUGAGACCACUCAUAAAUUAGAUAAAUAUGAUGUUAACAAUUCAGGCUGUGUAAUUUGGUUGGAGGAAAUUUCAACUCAUGUAAGUCUUUUUCCUUUAAGCGAUUAAUUGAAGUUUUCCAUUUCCAAAGAGAGAUAGAGAGAGAGAGAGAGCUCAACUCAAAUGAAAGUACGAAACAAAGAGUAAAUCCUGAUAGUAGAAAAAUGAGCCAUGAGUAGAACUAUUCGCACCUUUGAAAGCCCUCAUAAAAAUCUUUCUUCAAUAUGUCCCGCUAAAUCAUUUAAAAAAUAAUAUUAUUUCUAAGGGCAGAGCUAUUUGCACUCUAAAAAUUAUUCUCAACGUUUUAUUACUAUAUACACAUAUUUAUUAAUUUAAAAAAAUGAACUAUAUUUUGUACAACUAUGAUGCCACUUCCACCUCCAAUUGAAUGUCAGAAAAUUCAAAGUUUGUCAAAAGAGGAUGGUAAAUUAAGCCCCCUUUUUUUUUUAAUCUGGAUUUGGUUGAACAUUUUUAUGUCGCAAAAAUGUUUGCUGUGUUGUAAUGCCUAAGUGUUGCAGACUAGUUUGUAAGAGUCUGAAUAAUUGUCCAUGUUACUCUGGUAUUGUGGAAUGCCAUGUAUUUUUUGGCCAAAAGAAAAAAUCAAGCAACCAAUGUAAACUUGUUUAAUAUCAUCAUAAUAUAACUGAAAAAGAAGUAAUUAUAGUCAUACAAAAAAAAUUAAUAAUUGUCAUGUCCUUAAUAAUAAUUUAUAUCAUAAAUAUUAUUGAAAUAAUUUUUUUUUAUAAAAUUAUCAGUGUUUAGUGUAAUUUUUAGAGUGUAUAUAGCCUCAUUCUAUUUCUAAACCCACAUAAGUUGAUUCCAAAAACACCCUUGGCUUACACACCAACCCCAUUUUCACAUUUUCUUCGUCUUGGGGAGCUUGAAACCCAAAUCUGAUGGCUUCAACUUUCGAAUAAUCAUUAUCUCCAUUAGAACUUAUAAUUUUAAAAGCUAUUUCCAUAAUAUUUUCAUUAGAAUUUCUUAUAACAACAUCCAACAUUGGUUAUUGAUAUUUUAAGGUUUCAUCUUAAAUAAUAAUAACAAAAUAAUUAAAAUUUUAUCAAAAUUUAAGGAAAUACAUUGUACUUUGAUAAACAAGGAAUGUCAACUAAAUAUCGUCAAAAUAAAUAAUAAAUUUUUAAGUCGAGUUUUGGUUUCACAUAAUUGUAAUUAUGGAGACUAGUUAUUCGAAUAAAAUUUAAUUUCUUCUGUUUAUCAUUGUAACUUUACAUAGGGACAAUUGCAUGAUUAUAAAGGCAGGGUUUGAUAAGGAUUUUUUGGAGGUACCAAUAGGACCACUCAUGAGCCAUGACAAAAUUAAGCCCAUGCGAGGCCCACCUAAUCCAUUUUUACAUUUAGCCAAUUAGCCUGAAGAAUAAGACGAUAAUAAACAGUAAGCCUAAAUAAUAAGAUGAUAUGAAAGUAAGAAUAAGGUUAAGAUACCAAUUUUUUAGUCUUAACUUCUUAAGUCUUAAGUCUUAAUGUAACAUGUCAUUCAUUUAUUAGACGAUAAAUUUCAUAACUUGUAAAAUUAUUUAACCACCAUCCAAUAAAUGAUUGUCAUAUCUAUUGAAAUUUAAAUUUAAAUUUUAGAAUACUUAGCAUUGAGCUGAAUCUAAACGAUUUUAUUUUCUAUUAUUUUUAUUUUAUUUUAAUUUUUUUUCACAAUCGGAUUUUUCUUUGAGACAAUAGAAAGCCUUUUGGCUUUAAGUUUCUGAAAACCAAUAAUAAAAAAUUAUCCAUGAGUUUCUGAAAACCAAUUAACUUCAAAAUCUCUUCCAGCGCUAGGAGGAACAUCUUCAAUAACUUUUUCAUGACCUUUUGGGUAAUAAAUCCCAGUUCUUUCAUGAGGAACCCAGCUACAAUUCCCUUCAUUUUCUCCCACAUUAUUAUUCAUCUGCUGGCUCCUCAUCACAUUUCCUUCUUCCGCAUUGGAUUUCAAUGCUGUUUCUCUUAUCAUAUCAUUAGAACUUGCUUUCUUUUGAAAGGAUUUCCUCAUUAUUGGCCUAUAUGUUUCAAAAAGACUUAACAAAUUAAUAAUGUAAAAACAAAGACUAAAAUAUUCAAACACUCAAAUGAAUGAAAGUAAUCUCUUUUUAUUAUUGCGUGGACAGUGGCGAAAUCAGGAUUUUGGAUGUCAUCAAUAAUAGAGAAACAACAAAUUUUAAGUAGGUUAUAACACAAGAAUAUAAACAUAUGGGGGCUACAAAAUAAAAUUAUCAGACAUAAGGAUAAAUUUAAUUGAAGACUUUCAUAUUUCUUGAUAAUGUUUUUUAACCUGAGUCCCCUGUGGAGACAUAUUGAUUCAGUUAAUAAAACAUUUAAUUCUAUGUACUUAACCAACCACUCAUAAUUAGUAAUUACAUAAUUUGAAACUAUUAGGCCUAUUUCGAACGAACUGUUUCAUAACAAAAUUAAUUUAGAUAAAGUGAAAAGAUUUAUUUACAAACAUACCAUGCAAUAAUGAAGUGCGAUUGUCAAAAUGAAAUGAUGAAAUAGCAAAGUAGAUAGAUAAAAACAUGGAGUUAAAGGUGGGAGCUCCUCUAGCAAAUGAUCCUGUCAUCUUUUUCUUCUUUUUUCUCUCACUUUCUCUCUUUCCAAACAAUGUGGGUGGAAUGAAUUGAAUUAUGAUUUAGAUAGAGAGCUCUUUACAUAGUGAAGUUAAAUAAGAGAAUAUUGUUAUCUAUUUCUCUCAUCUCUAGGGAGAUCGUUUAUUGUACGUCAUUUUCUGUUUGGAUAAAUAUUAAAUUAUAACACUCUUUCUUGAUCAUUGGGGAGCACUCAUUGCAGAGCAUGGCCUUCUUUUGUUCCCUUUUGUUUUGUUUUUGUUUUUUAGUCAUCUAAGUUAUGGGACAUGGCUUGUGGACUCAGCUUUUAGAAACUUUCCCUAGAUAAGUAGUUGAAUCUAGGGGAGGUACUUUUUAGUUUUAUAAGUGACAUUGAUUCACCUCAUGAUUAGUGGCCAGAGAGAAUAAUUACGAAAAAAAAAUUUUAAUUGUUAAUUAAUUUUGUUGAAUAUAUUAAAAUAGCCAAGUUAAAUUUAUAAAAAUAGUUUCAUAAACUCUUAAAUCCAUAAAAUUUUAAUUUUGAGGAUUACAAAAACCACACUUUAACAGAUAUACAAAAAGAUUGUAAAGAUAUAAGAUGAGUCGUUAAUAAUUGCACGUGCAAACAUCGUAUAUUCUUUAUAAUUAAUUGUGCAGAUUUUCAUGACCAAUGCACCAGAUUUUGAUGACCAAUGCACCUGGGUGCGAAAACAAAAAUUAGAACAAAAUAUAUUAAUAAGGGAAGGCCACUCUUUUGUCAAUAUAUAUAUAUAUAUAUAUAUAUAUAUAUAUAUAUAUAUAUAUAGAGUUUGUUAUAAAAGAUUACCUCAGUAUCAAACUCUCCCGAUUCAACAUUGACAUUGAUGACAGUGAAAAUCUUUACAAGAUCCACCAAUAAUCCAGGUCGAUCAGCCGUCUCCACCAAAAGCAAACUUCAAUAAAACAAAAGGUAAACUAAACAAAAAUAGUAAGGACCAAAUUAUCUGACUACUUCAGUUAUGGGCAGGAAUUGCCACUUGGGCUGGAGUAUGAGUAGUAAUAAUGUGGGACCAAAGUUUGGUGGAUAGCAAAAGCCCCAUCAUCUAGAUAAGAGAAUGAAUUAUGCAUUGCCUUCGGUUGGGGCCAUCAUCAUAGAUGCUUAUGUGGGUUGCUAUGUCCACAUCAACCUGACAAAUUCCAGCACAACAAGAUUUGAGACAAGAUUGAAGUGGGACGUUAUCCUUCCCAUAAUAACUCAUAUACGUAGUUUUUAACAUUCACAACAUGAUAUUAAUUUCAAUGGCAGGCAAAUUGAAUAUAAUGUCUUUAAAGAAAAUGAGGAUAAAAGUGAAGUAAUAUUUGGCCUAAGAGAACUCUAAAACAACUUAGUUUCCUAUUCAAAUGAUCACUAGUGAGAAGAGCCAAAAAUAUCAAUAAUCUGAAAAAUCAAAAUAAGACCAGAAAGCAAAAACCUGUUGUUUUGGAGGAUCAACGCCAAAGGCAACACCCAUUGCCAACUGGGAACUUGAUUCCUGAUUCCAUCACCAACACAAAUGGAAUAAGCUUUUGAAUAAGACAAUUCCUACAGGUGCUCCACCAAGUGAUAUCUCAAGAGAGACAAAAAAAAAUGAUUACCGGGUGAUACUGAAGUAGAUUGUUUAUAACUGUCAAACAAAUUGCCUCAAGCACCUCAGGAUCAUCAACUUUCCUACCAGUAUCACCGCACACAAGCAUCAUGACCAAAUUAAUCAAAACCACAGUGGGAAUCUAUUGCAAGAACUGCUCCAAAAAACACCGAUGGCUCUUUGGAUCAUUGAUUUUAGGUUCUAGUAUGUCCAAAAUUUUAACGAUUUCAACAUUAGUGAUAAACAUCUAUUUGCAACAGACUGAUCAUACUUGUAUAUGGAGCAUCACAAGUAGGUAUUUACUAUGCUCAUCAAAUAUAGACCAGAAGACGUUGACAACAAUUAAAGGGUAUUAGUGAAUGAAACUGCAAGCAGAGAAUACAAAUCAGCUCAGUAAUGCAAGGGCAUGAAAAGCAAAAUGCAUAUGCAUCACAAAAUUAUAGAGAUAUAUAAUUUCGCAGUCAUAUGAUGAUAUUGCAGCGGUGAAGCCGUGCGUGAGGUUAAGGCAAGCGAUGGAAUGACUUGCGUUACAAAAGAGGUAUUUGCAAUGAUUGUGUACUGGACGGAAAUUGAAUCCAUGUUUAAGAAUUUACCGCCGGGGAAAAAAUGUCAAUACAAAGUCAAUGCGAACGAAUAGUGAAGUCAGCAGUCGCAAAGGCAAAGUUCUUAACCAGAUGGACUCCAGAUAGAUUAGCGGUGGCAGUUUCACAGCUGACAGAUGAACAAAGAAUGGCUGCUUGUCAAAUGGGCUUUGGUAGUUUUCUACAACUGAACCGUGGCAAGCUAAAAAGGAAACUUUGUGGCUAGUUAAUUGAGAUGAUUGAUACUUUGAGGUACAUUUUAGAGUUGAAUGGUAUUAGCUUUCGAACAAGAUCAUCAAAGAAACUCCACCAACCAGGAAAUUUAGACUUAAUCUAUGCUCUGCAAAUUCAUAUACUCUCUAAUAUGAAACUACUUUUAUGUGUUUUGUUAUUCCGACUUGGUAACGUUGUUAUGGAAGCCUGACAACUAUUAUGUCCGUGCAAUUUUUAUUGUAUCUUUUGUUAUGUCAUGAUAUCGAAGCUUGGUUUUCUGACUCCAACUACUAAGAACUGCAGUUGCAGCAUCUUUUGAAUAUUACAUAUGUGCUUGUAGUGUCUCCACGGAUUAAAAUCUGCUAUUUAAGUUCUUCUACCGCCCCCGCUUCUUCUUUCAUUUAUACUUGCUGCACCAUUUACUUCACACUCUGUAAAGCCAUAUGAAAGCUUGUUCAUUUAUGUUCACUUGCAAUUCAAAAGCAGUGUUUAUUUCAACUGUCAAAUUGACUACUUGCACGUAUUGAUUUCAGUCGAAACAAGGUUAUUGGUCGAUCCAGAAAUUGAAUCCAUAUGGCCAUUCCAGCAUCAUUCAACCACCUAAUUUCAAAUAUAUAAAUUAAUUCAACCCACUUAAGUGAUCAAAGGCGUGGAACAAAUCAUGAAAGAUUUUUCAGCUAUCAUAAAUUCGAACGGAUGUAGUUUGUAUUCUUUCAGGCUUAGACAGAUUUUUUGCAACAUAAACUUGUAUGUAAUGUACAUUUUUUUGUUCCUUACAAAUUAAUUGCUGCUAAAAUAAUUGUUUCGACCAAUAUUUAUUGUUAUAAUAGAGAAACCUUUUCUUGCAACUCAAACAGUUCCGAUGGCAUGAUCUGCAUCCCCUGUUUGCCUCUUGGGCUGCACGAUCUUGCUCCUUUUCAUCAAACGGCAACUUCGCUGCAGACAAAAAGAGGGGGUACAGUGCGCAGGGGCACCGUAGAUGUAGCCCAAAAAGAUGAUUUUGUCCCUCCAUGUCUAAGUAUUUUAACCAAAAAAUAAUAAUAAUUCCUUACAUCAUCAAUGAUUGCACUUGUAAAUCUAAGGGAUUAGAAUUCUGUAUUGAAUUUAUAUUUUAUUAAAUAAAAAAUUAAUGUUAAUUUUUUUUUUUUUUUAUCUAGCUAUCAUUGACUUUAUAUUUUGGAUCUUCAUCCAGAAUUAAGGCACAAAAUUUUUGUUCUAAAUAAAUAUUCUCAAUAUAAAUUUAUCACUUAAAUAAUAAUGAUAAGAUUUAAUAUUAAUUCUAUCAUUACUGAAAUGGAUUACAAAUUUUAUAUGACUUGUAAACGUAUCAUUAUGUUCUUGAUAUUUGAAACAUGAAUCAAGCAACAUAUGUAGCAUAUUUUUAUUUCAGUGUCGUGCUUCUCUAAAAAUUGUUGAAAGCAGAAGCCAAGCUGGCAUGCCUCCUGAGCUGGUGUGGUAGGUGAGUUGGAUUUGUUGAGCUGGCAAAUGAAAUUAUUUAUGAUGAUGCUGUGAAUUUAAUUGUCGUAUAAUGUUUGUGUAGAAUUAAGAAUGGAAGACAAUGUCGAUGAUGACAAGAAGAAUAGCAGCGCAUGUGAAUUGAAUAGUUGCAUCUUCUAGAAGCUUAAUGUGAUUGGUUCACAAUUGAAUUGAAUAGUUGCAUCUGCUAAUGAAGAAUAGCAGCGCAUGUGAAUUGAAUAGUUGCAUCUUCUAGAAGUUUGUCUCUGUAUGCAAACUAGCAAAGCUCUGUAUUUCAUUUUCAUUCAAGUCAUCAUAAUCAAUAAAGGCCUGAUUCUCAUACUCUGUUUGCAUUUGAAAGCAAUUCUUAAGAAUUUAAGUAAAAUGACCCUCACCAAAUUAGCUUAAUUCUUUUCAUUGUACCCAUUGCUUCACUUCCUCUUUUCGUCAACGACAAUGGGUAACUUAAUCUCAACCUUCUUACCAGCAGACUUAUUCGAUCGAACUUCAAACUGCGUUGGUGAACAAGCAAAAUAUGUAUGGGGUCUCGAAAAAAAUCUUCGGGUCUUGGAGACUGAAUUGCACAAAUUGACUCGAGCAAGGGACGAUCUGAAGACCAAGGUUGAGGUCGAAGAACAACGACCUCGAACCAGACGAACGAACCAGGUCGCAGGGUGGCUUGAAGAUGUGCAAAAACUGGAAACUGAAUUUACCGAGCUGGAACGAGUUAGAGCUCAAGAAAUGGAUAGAUUGUGCCUUGGAGGCCUCUGUUCCAAAAACUUCGUUUCAAGCUACAAUUACGGGACUCAGGUGGUCGAGUUGACGGAUCGAGUGAUCAAUUUAAAGAAAGACGGAGAAACAAUUGAAGUCGUUGUUGAGAAGGCGCCGGAUGGUGCAGCAAUUGAAUUACCUGUUGAUCACACGGUUGUUGGUCAAGAACGAUUACUUGAUCAAGUUUGGAGAUGUAUCACUGAUGAGGAAAAGAACAGGGGAAUUAUCGGCUUGUAUGGUAUAGGGGGAGUCGGCAAAACUACCCUUUUAAAACAAGUCAACAACAACUUCUGCCAUCAACGGCAUAUUUUUGAUGUUGUUAUCUGGGCGGCUGUGUCAACACUUCAAGAUGACAUUGGAAAAAGGAUUGGCUUUUCAGAAGCCAAGUACUGGAAGGAAAAAAGUCUUCAAGCUAAGGCUGUGGACAUCGCUGGCAUUUUAUGCCGAAAGAAGUUUGUGUUGUUAUUGGAUGAUAUAGGGGAACGGAUUGAUUUAACACAAUUGGGUGUCCCUCUUCAAAAACUAAAAGAUGGGUCCAAAGUAGUCUUGACAACUCGUUCAGCUGGUGUUUGCGAUCAAAUGGACGCUGAAAAGGUGGAAGUGUAUAGUUUGGCGCAUGAUAAAGCCUGGGAAUUAUUUCAGGAGAUGGUCGAAAGAUCCACUCUUGACAGUCAUACCAGUAUUCCAGAGCUAGCCGAAGCCUUGGCAAGAGAGUGUGGUGGGUUGCCGCUAGCGCUUAAAACAGUGGGUCGAGCCAUGAAAAGCCAAAGGAGAGUUGGAGAUUGGAAACGUGCAAUUAACAAAAUGAGAACAUCAGCUUCUAAAUUCUCAGGUAUGAAAGAAGAGGUGUUUUCGCGUUUAAAGUUCAGCUAUGAUAGUUUGUCUACGGAUGAACUUCGUUCCUGUCUCCUGUAUUGUUGUUUAUACCCUGAAGACUACAAAAUUCCUAAAAGGGAAUUGAUUGAUUAUUGGAUUAGUGAAGAAUUUGUGUGUGAUUUUGAUGGUGGAUGCGAUUUUAUUGAUGACCUUCUUCAUGCAUGCUUAUUGGAGGAAGAAGGCGAUGAUCAUGUAAAGAUGCACGAUAUGAUUCGUGAGAUGUCAUUAUGGAUAGCGUGCACGGUAGACAAGGAGGAGCAGAACUUUCUGGUUCGCGCUGGAGUUGAAUUGACCGAAGCACCAAAGUUUGAAGAAUGGCAAGGUGCCAAACGGGUAUCUCUGAUGGGAAAUGGAAUUAGGAGCUCAUCGGAAAUUCCCACGUGUCCGCGCCUCGUAACUUUACUUCUUUCAAUCGAUGUCUUCUCUUAGAGUAUUAAGUCUAAGAGGAAAUUUUCCCCUAAGAACACUACCUUCAGGGAUUUCAGGUUUGGUUUCAUUACAUCAUCUUGAUCUAUCAUCGACUAACAUAACUGGGUUGCCGCAAGAGCUGAAGGCGUUGGAGAAGUUGAGAUAUUUGAACUUGGACUAUACACGGUUUUUGUCUAUAAUUCCACAUCAAUUGAUAUCUGGUUUUUCAAAGUUGGAGGUACUCAGGUUGCUUUCACGCGGUCGCUGGAGCGUAAUAGAAGGUAACGUUCUAUGUGAUGAUGCUGAACCUUUGAUGAAGGAAUUGCUGGGUUUGAAGCAUUUAAAUGUUUUAAGCUGGACCUUCCGAAGUUCACUUGCUGUCCAAAAGUUUUUGAAAUAUCCAAAGCUGGUGAGCAUCACUCAAUCUGUAAUGGUUUGCCAAUGUGAAAGUCCACCGUUCAAUGUCUUACAUCUAGCAUACAUGGAGAAUCUUCAGGAGUUACGCAUUUCAGACAGUAAUUUGGAAGAGAUGAAGACUGACAGCACAGAAGAGGUAAAGAAACUUUUUCAAAGUGGUUUCCGCAGUCUCGACAGAGUUGUCAUAUGGAGUUGCCAAAAAAUGAAAGACUUAACGUGGCUAGUUUUUGUUCAAAUUCUCAAGCAGCUGCGUAUAGUCUUUUGUACAGAAAUGGAAGAAAUAAUUAGUGUUGAUAAAUUGAGAGAUAUUUCGAAGAUAAUCGGGUCAGAGCAUAACUUUUUUGCACAACUCGAAUCUCUAACCAUAAAGUGGGGAAGAAAUUUAAAGAGCGUUUACCCGAAUCCCCUGCCCUUUCCAAAGCUGAAGAAAAUUGAAGUACGUGAAUGCCCACAGCUGAAGAAGCUCCCACUCAAUUCCAGCAGCGCGAAGGAACGUCGAGUUGUCAUCGAGGGGUCGAAAAAAUGGUGGGAAGAGCUACAAUGGGAGGACCAAGCCACCCAAAAUGCUUUCUCUUCCGGUGUCGUACUUGGGGAUGAUUUUCAUUAAUAUGUUUGAAUAUGUAUUUCUUUUCUUUUUCUUUUUUUUUUUAAUUUUCAUUAGAUUUAAUUGCAUCUUGUUGUUGUUGUCUGGUGUGUCAAUCGUUAUCUAUUUUCAGUUAAUAAAAUUUCAGCAGUGGAUUCUUGGUUUUAGAAUCCUCCCACUGGAAAGAAUUUCUCCUUUGGCUUGAAUGCGACCUUUUUACUCGUCGACAAAAUUGUAUUUGUCGCUUAAGUCUUGUUUGUUUUAAAAUGCUGGCAUAUUUAUAGAGUGGGAACUCAGAUGCUGAACUCAUAGUAAAUAUUUAUUUAAUUUGUUAUAAUUAUAUUUGGUGAGAUAUUUAUUCAAUAAUUGCCCUAUCACUUUGUGCAUGAUCACAGAAUUUUGUACUUCCGUCUGUGAAAUAACUUUUGGAAAAGGAAAUUAAUUUUUUUAAGUAACGGUAAAUAUUUUAAAUUUUUAUUUUAAAUUUUAUUUUAAAUAAUAUAGUAUGUAAUGUGUCAUUUAUUUAGUGAUUGAUAAUUUAAUAUAGGAUUUAAAUAAAUUAAUUAUGCUAUUUUAUUAUUUAAUUAAUAAAUAUUAUAUAAUUUAAAAUAGAUUUUUGAGAUAAAAAUUAUAAAAGUAAAAUUCUACUCAACAGACUAAAUUUAAAAUGAUGUGAUUGGCAGGUAAGACUUAAGAAUUAGACAAAAUUUCUCAUUCAACAGCUUGUAGAAAAUUUAUACACUAGGCCUUAGCUAAACUUGGACUUGUCGUAUGUUUGAAGUAUUCGACGAUAAUCAUAUCUGCAUUUUUAUUUUAUUUUUUAUUUUUGGUUUGUUUAGGGCUUUUCAUCGGUUUUCGUCUUGGUCUUUGUCCUGGUCUUGGCGUCUUGCUAUCAAAUCAAGUGUUCUCUUCUCCUAUCCUCUAAUGAAAGUGCAGGGCCUCAACUAUUUGUUACUGCUAUCACUUUAGAGGUUGAUGCUAAUGUCCGAAGGUCACGUUUAAUUUGCUUGAAUGUGACCUUUACUUUGGUUGACAAAAUUGUGAUUGUCACAAAGAACAAACUAUAAAAGUGCAGUUUAAAUCGAACACUGAAUUCCCUAUGGAAAUUUUCGCACCCGUAUAUAUAUUCUACAUUAUUUGGUUGCAAAGACUAUAAUUAACAAGAAGCUAAUAUAUAUAGUAGAGAGAGAAAUAACAAGUUCAAUGUUGGUAAAAUUUUAUCUUCCCUUCACUGCUCUCCUUUGCUGCAAUCAAGUGGCCUCACUUACAAAUUUUGACUUUUAAUUAUUUCAAUUAACACAAGAAAAAAAGGGCAAUAUAGUUUACAUUACUCUAUCAGCCUUAUAUAAAGGGUAUAAAUAUGAGAGUGCGUUUGGAAUUGAAGUCGGACACUUGUCGCUUAAAAGCUACAGUAGCAAAGUGUUUGGUAAAUACUAAUUGUUGUGUCUUGAAAGAUAUGUUGAUAUGAUUUUUCACUUGUAUAAUAGAGAAUUUAUUAUUUUAUUAUUAAUAAUUUCGUUAAAAUUAUUAUUUAAAAUUUAUAUUUAUUAAAUAUUAUUAACUUUUGUUUUAUAGUUACAAUUUUUUUUUUUUACAGCAACUGUACCUUAAAAGUUAUAACACUUCAAUUCCAAACGUACCUUAAGUCUGUAAGGCAUAAGUUUUCACUCUUCGGGAAUCUAAGGAGAUUAGGGCAAGAGCUGCACAUUUGUAGUCUCAAAUUCAUUUGACAUCAGCCAAUUUAAUGUCUAUGGACGGGUAUAAAGGACGUCACAGACGGUUAAAGAACAAGGUGUUUGAUGGAAAUGUCAAGAAGUUCGAUGAAAUGUCUCACCUACACAACCAAGCCACUUAACAUUGCAGUCUUAUAAUACAAUUCCUACCUUCUCUUCCAUUUUCACCAACAUAAUUCUUUCUUUCUCACUUUAUUUUCUUCCUUGAAAUUUUUGUUAACAAAAAUGGGUAACAUCAUUCUCAUGCGUGCUUCUUAUCACCAGACUCAAUUCUUGCAGUUUUAUUUUAUUUUAUUUUUCCUUCGUGGAGAUGCUAAAAUAUAUAUGAGAUCUAAAAAGCUAAUCUUGAUGAGUUGCAGAAUCCAAUGCAGAAUUUGAAAGUUACAAAAGAUUAUAAAUACUAUUUUAACUUGUAAGCUUCCAUUGCUAUACAGUGAGGUAUGUCUAGAUAUCAUUUUGGUCUUUUAUAUAUUGGGUUCCAGUGAAAGACUUUUGUUCUAGUUGAAUUUAAUUUUGUCUUUGUAUUUACAGACAAAAUAUUAGGGACAUUUAUCAUACAUAUUUGGCUAGUUCGCCGUGGAAAAAUAAUAAUAGUUGAAAAGACAUAGGGUACUUUUUAUUUUCCUUUAUAUUACUAAUAGAUUUCCCACGCGCAACAGACGAAGUCAUUGCUGCUUCAAUAAUUGCCCUAUCACUGUGUUCAUCAUCACAAAUUUCUUUAUUACGUUUGUGAAAUAACCAUUGCAUAAAAAAAUUACUCCAACUUUUUAACUAAUAAUAGAUAUCUCAAAUUUUAUUUUCAGAAUAUGGUAUGUAAUGUAAGCGAUCGAUAGUUCUUUAUAAAAUAUAUAAAUAAAUUAAUAGUGUUAUCUUAGUGUCUAAUAUAUAUAAAUGACUUUCUCCAUAUAUUGCACUAUUGAUAUGGGCUAAAGUUUUAUACUAUGAGACCCAAUUUCUAUAAUUUACACUAUAAGUUAAAAGUAUUUAGAAAAAUACUAUUGCAAAUCAAAAGGUAUUAUCUAUUUUAUACCUAAAGCAUUUUCACUAUUUAAGACUAGUAAAAUUUCUAUAUUAUUAUAAUAUUAGAAUCAAACACCAAUAAGCGAGUAAAUCAGGUGGAAUAAGAAUGUUCUAACUUAACCAAGGUCCUCGGUUUGAAACUUAGAAAUGCAACUACAUUAAAUACUUAUUGGGAGAGAUUUGCCGCUUUAGUGGUUCUAUCCGGCUCGAAUCUAGAUUAGUCGGGGAUCUAAUGUGGUCUUUGGAUACUAGAUGAUUUAAUAUACCGAUAAUAUUGGAACCAAACUCAUUUACAAUUAUGAAGAGGUUAUAAUUUAAUAGAGGCAUAGUAACAAACUAUUAAUAGAGAGUAUAAAAUUUAAUGUAUAAACAAAAUUCUAUAAUUUACACUAUAAGUUGCAAGUAUUUAGGUCAAUACUAUUGCAAAUCAGAAGAUAUUAUAUAUUUUAUGCCGAAAAUAUUUCCACUAUUUAAGGCUAGUAAAACUUCUAUAUAAUUAUAAUAUUGGAACCAAACACCAACAAGCGAGUAAAUCAACUAGAAUGGAAAUGUUCUAACGUCAAGGUCCUCGGUUCAAAACUUAGAAAUGCAACUACAUUAAAUAUUUAUUGGGAGAGAUUUGCCGCUCUAGUAGUUCUAUCCGGGUCGAAUCUGGAUUAGUCGGGAAUCUAAUGUGGUCUUUGGAUACUAGAUGAUUUAAUGUACCAAUAAUAUUGGAACCAAACUAAUUUACAAUUAUGAGGAGGUUAUAAUUUAAUAGAGGCGUAGUAACAAACUAUUAAUAGAGCGUAUCAAAUUUAAUAUUGGAAUCCGAUGAUUGGUUGCAACAUAAGAUAUUUGUAAGCUUAGUUAAAGGUUCAUUAAAAAUUAUAGAGAUAUAUAAUUUCGCAGUCGACGAAGCCAUGCAUGAGGUUAAGGCAAGUGAUGGAAUGACUUGCGUUACAAAAGAGGUAUGUGAAGUUGCACUAUAAAAAUAAAAUAAAUUUGUAUUUUCAAGUAGUGAAGGUGUAGUUAGUUUAUUUGCGGUAGCAGUUUCACAGCUGACAGAUGAACAAAGAGUGGCUGCUUGUCAAAUGGGCUUUGGUAGUUUGCUACAAUUGAACCGUGGCAAGCUAAAAAGGAAACUUUGUGGCUAGUUAAUUGAGAUGAUUGAUACUUUGAGGUACAUUUUAGAGUUGAAUGGUAUUAGCUUUCAAACAAGAUCAUCAAAGAAACUCUACCAACUAGGAAAUUUAAACUUAAUCUAUGCUCCGCAAAUUCGAAUAUUCUCUAAUAUGAAACUACUUUUAUGUGUUUUAUUAUUCCUAGCUUUUACCGACUUGGUAACGUUGUUAUGGAAGCACGACAACUAUUAUGUCCGUGUAAUUUUUAUUGUAUCUUUUGUUAUGUCAUGAUAUCGAAGCUUAGUUUUAUGACUCUAACUACUAAGAACUGCAAUUGCAGCAUCUUUUGAAUAUUACAUAUGUGCUUGUAGUAUCUCGACGGAUUAAAACCUGCUAUUUAAGUUCUUCUACCCCUCCCCCCCUUCAUUCUUUCAUUUAUACUUGCUGCACUAUUUACUUCGCACUCUGUAAAGCCAGAUGAAAGCUUGUUCAUUUAUGUUCACUUGCAAUUCAAAAGCACAGUUUAUUUCAACUGUCAAAUUGACAACUUGCACGUAUAGAUUUCAGUCGAAACAAGGUUAUUGGUCGAUCAAGAAAUUGAAUCCAUAUGGCCGUUCCAGCGUUAUUCAACUACCUAAUAUCAAAUAUAUAAAUUAAUUCAACCCACUUCUGUGUCAAAGGCAUGGAACAAAUUAUGAAAGAUUUUUCAGCUAUCAUAAAUUCGAACGAGUGUAGUUUGUAUCCUUUCGAACUUAGACAGAUUUUCCUUCCAUUAACCUUACAGUGUUAGUAAUCCUAUUACUUGUUUUUAAAGCUUGAAUAGUAUACCGAAAUUUUUGGUUUUUGCAACAUAAACUUGUAUGUAAUGUACAUUUUAUAGUUCUUUACAAAUUAAUUGCUGCUAAAAUAAUUGUUUCGACUACUAUAUUUAUUGUUAUAAUAGAUAAACAUUUUCUUGCAACUCAAACAGUUCCAAUGGCAUGAUCUGCAUCCCCCGUUUGCCUCUUGGGCUACGAACCUGCUUAACAGCUGCACCAUCUUGCUCCUUUUCAUCAAACGGCAACUUCGCUGCAGACAAAAAGAGGGGGUACACUGCCCAGGGGCACCAUAAACGCAGCCCAAAAAGAUGAUUUUGUCUUUCCAUGUCUUAGUAUUUUAACCAAAAAUAAUAAUAAUAAUUCUUUACAUCAUCAAUGAUUGCACUUGUAAGCCAGGCAAUAGUUUUUUUAUUAAAUAAAAAAUUAAUGUUAAAUUUUUUUUUUUUUUUUUUUUUUUUUAUCUAGCUAUCAUUGACUUAAUAUUUUGAAUCUUCAUCCAAAGUUAAGGCACAAAACUUUUAUUCUAAAUAAAUAUUCUCAAUAUAAAUUUAUCACUUAAAUAAUAAAUAAUAAGAUUUAACAUUAAUUCUGUCGUUACUGAAAUGAAUUGUAAAUUUUAUAUGACGUGUAAACGUAUCAUUAUGUUCUUGAUAUUUGACAUAUGAAUUAUAAAGCAACAAAUGUAUCAUAUUUUAUUUCGGUAUUGUGCUUCUCCAUAUUUGCUUAAUUCUUUUCGUUGUACUCAUUGCUUCUCUUCCUCUUUUCGUCAACGACAAUGGGUAACCUAAUCUCAACCUUCUUACCAGCAGACUUAUUUGAUCGAAUUUCAAACUGCGUUGGUGAACAAGCAAAAUAUGUAUGGGGUCUCGAAAAAAAUCUUCGGAUCUUGGAGACUGAAUUGCACAAAUUGACUCGAGCAAGGGCCGAUCUGAAGACCAGGGUUGAGGUCGAACAACAACGACCUCGAACCAGACGAACGAACCAGGUCGCAGGGUGGCUUGAAGAUGUGCAAAAUCUGGAAACUGAAUUUGCCGAGCUGGAACGAGUCAGAGCUCAAGAAAUGGAUAGAUUGUGCCUUGGAGGCCUCUGUUCCAAAAACUUCGUUUUAAGCUACAAUUACGGGACUAAGGUGGUCGAGUUGACGGAUCGAGUGAUCAAUUUAAAGAAAGACGGAGAAAAAAUUGAAGUCGUUGUUGAGAAGGCGCCGGAUGGUGCAGCAAUUGAAUUACCUCUUGAUCACACAGUUGUUGGUCAAGAACUAUUACUUGGUCAAGUUUGGAGAUGUAUCACUGAUCAGGAAAAGAACAGGGGAAUUAUCGGCUUGUAUGGUAUAGGGGGAGUCGGCAAAACUACCCUUUUAAAACAAGUCAACAACAACUUCUGCCAUCAACAGCAUAAUUUUGAUGUUGUUAUCUGGGCGGCUGUGUCAACACUUCAAGAUGACAUUGGAAAAAGGAUUGGCUUUUCAGAAGACAGAAACUGGAAGGAAAAAAGUCUUCAAGACAAGGCUGUGGACAUCGCUAGCAUUCUAAGCGGAAAGAAGUUUGUGUUGUUAUUAGAUGAUAUAUGGGAGCCCAUUGAUUUAACACAGCUGGGUGUCCCUCUUCAAAAUCUAAAUGAUGGGUCCAAAAUAGUCUUGACAACUCGUUCAGCUGGGGUUUGCGAUCAAAUGGACGCUGAAAAGGUGGAAGUGUCUAGUUUGGCACAUGAUGAAGCCUGGAAAUUAUUUCAGGAGAUGAUCGAAAGAUCCACUCUUGACAGUCAUACCAGUAUUCCAGGGCUAGCCGAAACCCUGGCAAGAGAGUGUGGUGGGUUGCCGCUAGCGCUUAAAACAGUGGGUCGAGCCAUGAAAAGCCAAAGGAAAGUUGGAGAUUGGAAACGUGCAAUUCACAAAAUGACAACAUCAGCUUCUAAAUUCUCAGGUAUGAAAGAAGAGGUGUUUUCGCGUUUAAAGUUCAGCUAUGAUAGUUUGUCUACGGAUGAACUUCGUUCCUGUCUCCUGUAUUGCUGUUUGUAUCCUGAAGACUACGAAAUUCCUAAAAGGCAAUUGAUUGAUUAUUGGAUUAGUGAAGGAUUUGCGUGUGAUUUUGAUGAUGGAUGCGAUUUUAUUGAUGACCUUCUUCAUGCAUGCUUAUUGGAGGAAGAAGGCGAUGAUCAUGUAAAGACGCACGAUAUGAUUCGUGAGAUGUCAUUAUGGAUAGCGUGCACGGUAGACAAGGAGGAGCAGAACUUUCUGGUUCGCGCUGGAGUUGAAUUGACCGAAGCACCAAAGGUUGAAGAAUGGGAAGGUGCCAAACGGGUAUCUCUGAUGGAAAAUAAAAUUGAAAGCCUAUCGGAAAUUCCCACGUGUCCGCGUCUCGUAACUUUACUGCUGGAUGAAAAUCGGAUUGAGGAGAUCACUGAUGGCUUCUUUCAAUCUAUGUCGUCUCUUAGAGUAUUAAGUCUAAGAGGAAAUUUUCCCCUAAGUACACUACCUUCGGGGAUUUCAGGUUUGGUUUCAUUGCAUCAUCUUGAUCUAUCAUCGACUCACAUAACUGGGUUGCCGCAAGAGCUGAAGGCGUUGGAGAAGUUGAGAUAUUUGAACUUGGACUAUACAGAGUACUUGUCCAUAAUUCCACAUCAAUUGAUAUCUGGCUUUUCAAAGUUGGAGGAACUCAGGUUGUUUGCGUCCGGUCGCUGGGGCGUAAUAGAGGAAGAAGAAGGUAACGUUCUAUGUGAUGAUGCUGAACCUUUGAUGAAGGAAUUGCUGGGUUUGAAGCAUUUAAAUGUUUUAAGCUGGUCCUUCCGAAGUUCACUUGCUGUCCAAAAGUUUUUGAAAUAUCCAAAGCUGGUUAGCAUCACUCAAUCUGUAUGGGUUGAAUGUGGCAUGUAUACAAGGCCACCGUUCAAUGUCUUACAUCUAGCAUAUAUGGAGAAUCUUCAGGAGUUGCGUCUUUCUCAGAGUGAUUUGGAGGAGAUGAAGAUUGACAGCACAGAAGAGGUGAAGAAGCUUUUUCAAAGUGGUUUCCGCAGUCUCGACACAGUUGAUCUAUUUUAUUGCCAAAAAGCGAAGGACUUAACGUGGCUUGUUUUUGUUCAAAACCUCAAGGAGCUGCGUAUAGUGUAUUGUGAAUACGUGGAAGAAAUUAUCGGGGCUGAUAAAUUGAGAGAUAUUUCAGAGAUAGUGGGGUCAGAGCAUAACGUUUUCGCAGAACUCGAAUUUCUAUCCUUAUGGGGGGGAAUAAAUUUAAAGAGCGUUUACCCGAAUCCCCUGCCCUUUCCAAAGUUGAAGAAAAUUCAAGUACUUCAUUGCCGACAGCUGAAGAAGCUCCCACUCAAUUCCAGCAGCGCGAAGUUACGUCGAGCUGUCAUCGAGGGAACGAAAAAGUGGUGGGAAGAGCUACAAUGGGAGGAUCAAGCCACCCAAAAUGCUUUCUCUUCCGGUGCCGUACUUACUGAGUUUCCUUUUUAUUAAUAUGUUUUAAUAUGUAUUUCUUUUUCUUUUCUUUUUUUAAUUUUCAUUAGAUUUAAUUGCAUCUUGUUCUUGUUGUCUGGUGUGUCAAUCGUUCCCUACUUUCAGUUAAUAAAAUUUCAGCAGUGGAUUCUUGGUUUAUUAAUGUUUAUAUAACUGAAUUGUUCAGCAGAUGUACUCUGCACGACUAACACAGAAAUAAACACAGAAAUAAAUAUAUGUAAGGGGUUACAGGACUGACUCUGCUUCUGGCUUCUAAGGAGAAAGAGGGGAAAAUAAACAUUUUAUCUUCCCUUAACUGCUCUCCUUUGGUUUGAAUGUGAACUUAACACUCUUUUAUUAUUAAAAUUUAAUUAUUUGGUUGUAUAAUAUAUUUCUCCAAUAAACGAAGAAUGAUAAAGGAGCAACUAAAAAAACCCAUCAAAAUAUUUCACCAAUGAAAAGAUUCAUGAGAAAUAAACAUUAUAAUCCGAACAAAUAAAUCAAUUAGUCAAUAUAUCAUUUAGCCGAAUUAAAGACGCUGCUUGCGCUUCGUAGUUCUGAGCUUAGAAUCAAGUAGAGAACUGAAUAUGAAAUUUUUAAUUGCUGAGAAUAUGAAUUUGAGGUUGAUGGACGACUUGAAAGAGAGGGACAAGAAAGAAUGAUACAGAGCAGGUGGCUGGCAAAAGGGACCUUAUGACGAUCUUCUUCAGUACAGCUAUGAUGCCGCUUCCACCUUCAAUUGAAUGUCAGAAAAUUCAAAGUUUGUCAAAAGAGGAUGGUAAAUUAAGCUGUUUUUUUUUUUUCUUUUUUGCAAAAUUUACCAAGUGAAUUAAUCCAUUAUUUUAUCUAUCAAUCAGUACACAAUCUACAUUACCCCACGCUAACAAAACACUGACUAUAAAUCUAUGACUAUACAAUGCGCACUUUGGUUACUGCCCCAGCCCUCUUACCCAAAAGAACCACAAAAGCAACGAAAAACUAAAUUGAUUACAUAAUCAAAUCAAGUUCUUCUUAGCUACUGUGAUCGAUUUGUCCAGCACCAUCAGUUAAUUUCUCUAGUUUUCAGCAAAAAUGGUCGAGUUCUUGAGUCUUCUUUGCACGUUUCAUCUCAUUUAUUCUGUCGAUAAAGCUUAUACACAUCAUCCGCAACGACAACAAAUUAAAUUAAUAUGUGUCGAGUUUUGGAGCCAGAGCCAGCGGUGCAAGCGCAAGAGAAAGGGACUUCACACAAGAAUUUGCCAGACCAUGGGCUACAGAAAGGUGCCUCACUUCACGGACGCGGAAUUUGGUUGGCUCCUGGGCCAUUAAGGGUGAAUGCAUCUUUCUUUUUAUGUGAAUUUAAUUAUUGAACCCGGUAUCUUGAAUAAAUAUAAAUUUGACUGUAGCACCAAGUAUCAAUGAUUGCAAAAUGUAAAUUUGACAUAUUGUGUGGUUAAAUCAUCUUGUACUAAUCGUUUAUGUUAAUUUAUGGAGGCCUUAAUGUCCAAGGCAUACGUAAAGGGGUACAGGACUGACUCUGCUUCUGGCUUCUAAGGAGAAUGAGGGGAAAAUUUUAUAAACAUUUGUGGAGUGGCCGUAUAAAGGACGUGUGGUUCUCAAUCCAUUUCACAUUUGGCAUUGUAAUGUUUAUGGACUCAUAUAAAUGAUGUCACACAAAUAGUUAAACGAAGAAGGUGUUUGAUGAAAACGAAAGGGCCUUUUUCUUUUUUUAAAUCCCGCUAAAGGUUAUAAUUAACAACAAAUUAAUAAUAGAAGAGAGAGAAAUACCAAGUUCAAUACGGUAAUAUUUUAUCUUCCUUUUAACUGCUCUCCUUUGGCUUAUAAUGCGACCUUUACACUCGUGGACAAAAUUGUAUUUGUCGCUUAAGUCUUGCUUGUUUUAAAAUGCUGGCAUAUUUAUGGAGUGGGAACCCAGAUGCUGAACUCAUAGUAAAUAUUUAUUUAAUUUGUUAGAAUUAUUUUUGGUGGGAUAAUUUUAAAUAUUAAUUUAACAAGAUAGUGAUGUUUGCCUUGCCCUACAUGGAAAAAAUAAUAAUAAUUAAAGUUUUUUCUGUUCCUUUAUAUUAGUAAUAGAUUUCAGAUGGGAAACAGAAAAUUUAUUUCUGUUUCAAUAAUUACCAUAUCACUGUGUGCGUGCGUGAUCACAUAAUUUUGUACUACCGUCUGUGGAAUAACUUUAGGAAAAGAAAAUUAAUUUUUUUUAAGUAACAAUAAAUAUUUUAAAUUGUUUUCUUCUCUUAUCAAUUGUUUUUUUCUCCUAUCUUCCAAUGAAAGUGCAGGACCUCAAUUAUUUUAAUAGAGAUGUAGUAAUAAAUUAUUAGGGGAUCCAUAAAAUAAAUAUACAUGGUUUCAAAAAAGUUAGCACAUGCUUGUUACAAAUAUAAAAAAUUAUCUUAAAAGUCUCGGAACUUUUGUGUUCUCUUUAAUAUUUUUUUCUUAUGUUGUUAUUGUACUAUAUGGAUACAAGGGUGCGUUUGGUACGUUGUAUUAUAUUAUGUUGUAUUGCAUUAUUUUAAUAUAGGUAUAUUACAUUAUGUUGUGUUGUAUUAGUAAUGUAUUAUAAUAAUGUUGUACAAUGUUUGGUACUAUACUGUAUUGUAUUAAUUUUUAAUUAAUAUUAUUCAAAUGUAUUCAUAUUUAAAUAUUUAUUAUUAGUUAUAUUAAAUUAUUUAAAAAUAACUAGUUUAAUUAUUUUAAUAUAAUUAAAUAAUAUUAUAAUAUAUUAUAUUAUUUAAGUAUUUAUUAUUAGUUAUAUUAACUUAUUAAAAAUUAAUCAAUUAUAUAUAUUAAUUAAUAUAAUUUUACAUAUUAAUUAAUAUAAUAUAAUUAAAUAAUACAUUUUUUAGUUGUACAUUUACUAUAAUAAAAAUUAAAAUAUAAUAUAAUAUUAAAUUAAAAAUUAUAUUCAUUUAUUAUUAUUACAAAGUAUAAAAAAAAAAAAAAAAGGAAGCUAAAGCUAAUGCGGUAACUGGACACAUUAGCUAAACCCGACUAUAACAUAUGUCGGGUUUAGCUAAUACAACCAUUUGGUACCUCAGACAUGGUGCUGCAUUGCUAAUGCAAUGUAAUCCCAGGUAAAGAGGGGUACCAGACAACCCCCAAGUUCACUUAAUGUAACAUAACAUACUUUUUUUUUCUAUAUAUAUAUAUACACUACGUGGAAGUGAGCUCCUUAAGGUGAGAUUUAGCAAAAUUAUAAAUUAUUACAGCAUGAAAUUUAUUUUUAUUUAUAAUUGGCCUAAUAUAAAUUAGGACCAGUACUUUUAUAGCUAUAUGAAAUUAUUUUUAUAUAAAAUAUCACUACAUAAAUGUUUUAUUACAAUAUUAAUCUCUUUUUUUUAUUGUAUUUAUCUCUUCAUAAUCUUUUCCUUUUUAUAAAAAAAAAAAAUCAACUAAAAGAUUCAUCAACAUCUCAUUCCAACAAUCUACUAGCGAAAAUGAGUGUCCAUGCUUUUGAACCAAGGCCCGAUAUGUGAGGGAGAGAUUGUUGGGUUGUCUUACAUCGGUUGUGAACUAGGAUGGUGGUGAUUUUACAAGUGUGAGGGAAAGUCUCACCCCUUAUCCAUCUUUUGGGUUGGGAUUGAAUGAGACCCAAAACCGCUUAACAUGAAUUCUAUCACUGGGAUUUUUACCCAGUAUAACAAACAUAACAACACAAUGAAUUAUCAAUUUAUCACGUAAUGGCUCUAACUUUAGCGAUGAUCACCUUACAUGAACAUGAAAAUUAAUCCCAUUGUUUAACUCAACAAUGACGAUAAUCACUUAAACUCUUAUGCACCAAAGGAUAUACUCGCUACAGGGAAUCUUAACUCAUAAAGAUUAAUUUUAGUGGGGGGCAAAAGAGCACGAGUGAUCCAAACCACUAAACAACAUCAUAACCAACACAAAAUUUAUACUAAACAAACCAUUACCAAAACAGCAAAGCUAGACAUAAAUUUGAACAGAUACACAAGCUACAUUCAUUACCAUAAUGUAUCGACUAAAUUUCCAAGCUCUACAUUUUGAACAAAGAAUUUAUAAAAUUACAUAAUCUAAUAAAUUAAUAUAGAAAUAAAAUUGGCAUCAGAUCAAAUUACUAUUAAUGUACCUUGCAUAAACCAUUCUCUUCUAUCGGCAUUCACCUCCGCGCUCGAUUGGCUCUCCUGUGCUGCUUGUCUAAUUGAUUCAAAUCCACAUAGACAAAUUUAAGCAUAUUAAGUUUUCAAACUCAAAUCAACAGCUUUAAAAGUUACUUCACAAACAAUGAAUUUCAUUUUCGAAAUACAAAGAAUCCGUUCAGUUUAAAACAAUAAAAAAUCGUCUACGACUACUCAACUCAUGUAUGAUAACUAAAAAACGAAGGAUACCCACAAAAAUUAAAGAUAAAUUACCAAAAACCCAAAAAACUCAAGCCAAAAUUGCCAAAAAAAAAGCGAGAGAAUGGAAAUUGGCGUACCAGGGGCAGGAGAGAGGAAACGAGAAGAGGAAGAAAGAAGGGUUUUGGAGAGAGUGGGAAUUAGUGGAGGCAAAAAUGGAGAGUUUUGAGAGUGAGAUGAUUGGUGGGGUGGUGAUGGCGGUGGUGGGGUUAAUGUUCUGGAGGGUAUGCUGAAGAGAGGUCGCAAGAGAACCUCCAUAGCCUUUAAAGAGAGUUGAGUUGCUGCUUUCUUUUGCCGUGGAUGGAGAGAGAUUAAGGGAUUAGAAUUCUGUAUUGAAUUAAUUUUUUAUUAAAUAAAAAA
rnacentral:lncRNA from 1 species